UAAACUUAUGACUUUUAAUUGAACCACAAACUGCUUUUAGCAUAUCUCAUGCAUCAUAUUUAUGCCAUAGGUUGAUUGCAUUAGUAUUCACGAAUAUGUUGCAUUGCAUUGUUAUUUGGUGAUGUGAGUGAAUGCUGAAUGAUCCAAUAGUCUCAGACAGGAAGUCCAGGAGCCUUUGACUACGCCCUGGCAGGUAUAGUGAAGUCCAGGAG
rnacentral:lncRNA from 1 species